GCUGGCGGCAGGCCUAACACAUGCAAGUCGAGCGCGCCUUCGGGUGAGCGGCGGACGGGUUAGUAACGCGUGGGAACGUGCCCUUCUCUACGGAAUAGCCUCUGGAAACGGAGAGUAAUACCGUAUACGCCCUUUGGGGGAAAGAUUUAUCGGAGAAGGAUCGGCCCGCGUUAGAUUAGGUAGUUGGUGGGGUAACGGCCUACCAAGCCUACGAUCUAUAGCUGGUUUUAGAGGAUGAUCAGCAACACUGGGACUGAGACACGGCCCAGACUCCUACGGGAGGCAGCAGUGGGGAAUCUUAGACAAUGGGGGCAACCCUGAUCUAGCCAUGCCGCGUGAGUGAUGAAGGCCUUAGGGUCGUAAAGCUCUUUCGCCUGUGAUGAUAAUGACAGUAGCAGGUAAAGAAACCCCGGCUAACUCCGUGCCAGCAGCCGCGGUAAUACGGAGGGGGUUAGCGUUGUUCGGAAU
rnacentral:rRNA from 1 species